ensembl:lncRNA
GUGCAAUAUUAUAUUUAUUUCUUACAGUGAAUUUUGGUUGCCAUACAAGAAGUUUUGAGGAAUUGAGGGGGGAGGGGGAAGGAAGAGUGCAGUUACAGGAAAAUUCUCUCUCUUUUCAUUUCAGUAAUUAGUUGACUCUAUGAUGAUUUAAUAGCACAAAAUUACAGCAACAUAGAAAACAUGAACACAAGUCUUUGCACAAAUUACCGAAAACAUCUUAGCCUCUAUGAAGACUUAAUCAAUGAGUAAAAUCUAUUCAUGGAAAAAAAAACAGAACUUAAUUGAUCAAAAAGAAAAGAAAAAAAAGAAAAAGUUACCCAAAUGUUGGACAAUGAAAGAGUGGGAGCAGUGUUUUGACGGGGAGUGGAAGUGGGUUAGUGAGCCAUGCCUGUGGUGAACACGGCCCGGUGAAACGCCACGCUACGGUGAUGCUCUUUAAAGAUUAUUACUACAUCUACUCAGCUCUACAUGUCCACAGAUAAAAGUGCUGAGUGACCCACUGAUCCACAGGAAGGGAUCAACAGGCACCGCACAUCUUUUUGGUGGAUCUCUGUAUGUAUACAUACACACAUAUAUAUAUACGUUUCAUAUAGUUUCCUAUCAACAUGGCCUGCAGAUAUACUUUUAGAAAUGUAACUUUUGUGUUUUUUAACAAAAAACCCAGACUCGGGGAUUUCAAAGCCUGGGUUCAGUGGUCACUUGAUUGGCCAAAGUAUUACUACUGCAGUAGAGAGUGCAUCUAUUUUAGGCAACGCUUAAUAAAACACUGACAAGUGAUUGCAUCAUGAUAUGUAACUUUAAAAUGGCAAAAGAAAACACAACCAAGGAGAUUCAGUUAGAAUAAAUAUUGCUUCUUACAUAACCCAUAAGUUUAAUAAUAUCCACAUCGCAUCUACGUAUAUAUGGUAUUUCUGUUUGGCAAUCCACACAUCAGUGUUGAACAGUUUUUGUUCAGGUAACCUCUAUAAAAUUUCAUAGAACUCUAUACAAAUCUUUAAAAAUACUGUGCUUUUCUACCCCGCCUGGCACGCCACUGUACGUGUUUUGAAAAGAAGUUCAAACAGGAACAGGAUUGUAGCAGCAUUGUCCCGUGCCGGCCUCCGUACGGCUAAUGUUCACAGAACACAGAACUUGUGUAUGUUUCAUUUGUCACCUCAAAAAGCAGCGCCUACGUGAAGCUGUGGAGUGCGACAUGAACGCAAAUAAGGGCAGAAGAAAACCAGAUAUAUUUCCAGACACUGCUUACUGUCAAGCACAUAUCAACGCUCUAUCUAAGAGUGCUCUGAAAAAAUCUACUUGGAGAGAGCGCCUUCUAUCUACGGAGCUGUGUGACUGACGGAGGUGGAGGGCGGAGGGGGGCGAGCUGGUUACAGAUGAUGACGGGGCAAAUGAGACCAGUGCUUAGGUCAUCAGGUCAGCUCUGACAACAAUAAAUCUAUCUUCUUAGAAUUUUUUUCUUCUAAACAUCUGAAUAGAUCUAUACAUAUAAUCUAAUAGACAUUUUAAUCCAUUUAAACACUCUUAUAUACACGACAGCGCAUACUGCACUUCUACUUCCGACUAACCCGUUAUCACUGCUGGCAAACGCACCGUCUGACUUGGGUUUAAACUGGAUCCUCGGUCUGAAUCCUGCCUCUGCUGCGGUGAAACUAUGGGACUCGAAUCGAGCAGCAGUUUUCUAUCCCUGUCUGCUCUCACGCCGGGCUCACACUGAUGACCGCGUGCUGGCUUGGUCAAGUGAUUAUUCUCCGUUUCUUGCACAGUGGUUAGAAUGUAGGAGACGGCAAUGUGAACACAUAAUUAUGUAAAACCCAAAGCUCGAAAAUGGUUCAGCGUGAUUCGAUGACAUCUGACUCCAGCUUGCAGUUAAGGACGUUUAGAAGAAAGUGUCCUGUUACGCCCUAAAGACAAAGAGUCUGCUUUCAGAGUCUGUGACUAUUAGUUUGCUUUAGUGCUGCUUGCCACCACGAAGGACUGUUCCAGUUUUUCCAUUUUGAAUCUGGUCAGAUUUGAACUCAAGUUAACCAAAUGCACACAGUUUAUUAUUAUUUUCCUCAUAAGCAAAAAACAGCAUACAAAAUGUUUCAAUGAUUCUUUUUUGCUCCAUAAAAAUGUUACUUAUCGUAGCUUUUGAAAUACCAAUCACUGAACUGAAGUUCUUAAACGUUAGUUUGCUUAAAGCAUUCUGGUAUAUUCAAACAUGUAAAAGUUCAAAAGUAAACAAAAGAAUGUUUGUAAAGGAUUUCACACUGGAUUCAAACGCAACAAAACGCCAUCCAGUGAGAACCUUAAGCAGCUCAGUAUUUUGGGAAAUACACACACUUCUUUCUUCCAGGAAGAAAAUCUGCACCAGUCUUCUGUCUGUGAGUCGAGCUCAGGGAGAAAUAUCCACCUCAAUAAUCAAAGACAAGAUAAAGGUCCUCACCAACAAAUCUUUUCACAACCUGUGGCUCGACUCGAUGCUAAGCUAACCUACUUUGCACUCUUUGCACAGAGAACUGCAUGAACAUCUCAGUUUUACCUACUUCUAUAAGUCAAUGCAUUCUUCAACUGAGCAAUUUAGUUAGUGUACCUGAGUUUGACUUUUUACUGUCUACACCUUCUAAAGCUGUAAAUGCAGUUGUAAAAGAGAAACAUUGUUUCUAAAUGAGUGUCCUUUUCUACACGGAAUCACGUGAUAUUCCAACCGAUUAUUAUUGGAUACUAACGUGUUGUGUCCGUGUAUGUUUUGUCCGAUAUGUACGAAACCUUUUUUGUUUUAUAAUACAGAAAAAAUGAUCCUUCAGUGAUCUAGAAACACGUGUGUGCUCUAAAUAGGACUGACGUUUAAAGUAAAAAUACUGAUAUUCACUAGUAACUGACGUGAGUGGCUGUAGCUCAGGAGGUAGAGCAGGUCAUCCACUGAUCGGAAGGUUGGUGGUUCGAUUCCUGGCUUCCCCUAGUCUACAUGCCAAAUAUCCUUGGCAAAUUGCUCUCCGAUGCAUCCAUGUGAGUGUGUGAAUGUUAGCUAUACAUUCACGCACAUCUUAGAAAGGUGUGCUUGGGUGAAUGCACAAGUUGUGUAAAGCACUUUGAGUGCUCAGAUGAGUAGAAAAGCGCUAGAACCAGUCCAUUUACCAUUUACUUAAUCUUUGGAUUAAGCGUAAUGCUUCCAGCAUGUCUGUCUCAUAAAGCAAACACUUUACCAGACAGAUGAUUUACCAGUCCAGUAUCUGGUACUGAGUUAGAACACCUGGGUCCUGUACCACAGCAAGUUCUACACAACCAACUUUCCAUUAUGUGGAUUCACUCAUCCUAACAUUAGCAAUAAGGAUAAGUGGUCACUCAAAGCUGGUUAUCAACUCCCAAAACUAAUUUAGGGUUUCAUCAGCACGGGUAUAUGAAAGGAGUGGUGUUGGCAGCAUUUGACCAAUCUGAAAGGAGCAUUUCACUGGUCAUAUAUGAGUCUUCUUCCACACAAAACGAUCCCUGUGAGUGUCACCCACACCAAUCAGAUGAUGAUAAAAAUCUAACAGCAAAUGCAACAUUGCUGCAAAUAAGAUGGGACAGCAGUGCUACAAAGCAUGAAUCUGGUGAUUUCUCGCACACAGCUGCAACAUUUAUAUUAUUCCUGAAUGCUCUCUCCAUGCUGCUGUUUGUUUUUAAGGUGCACUUUAAAGAUCUGAAACGUUAAACAGGAGUCAUUUAAACAUUAAAUGUUACUGCCCACAGCCUGAUAAAGGAGAAAUGAAUCUGACUGGUUGAACAGGUGCUCUUGUUGGGCGAUCUUCAUCCCAGUAGCUGCAAAAGAUAUCUCGCAGCAGAUCAGAAUCAAGUAUAACAACAUUUUACACGUUUUCUAAAUCACCAAAUUUAUAUGCGCACAUUCGGGGGACAAUGGGAAAGUUUACGCUUCAUUCUGUGGUUG